CGCAGCCUGAUGGAGCACACCGCGUGAGUGAAGAAGGGUUUCCGGCUCCGUAAAGCUCUGUUGUUGGAGAAGAACGUGCGUGAGAGUAACUGUUCACGCAGUGACGGUAUCCAACCAGAAAGUCACGGCUAACUACGUGCCAGCAGCCGCGGUAAUACGUAGGUGGCAAGCGUUAUCCGGAUUUAUUGGGCGUAAAGCGAGCGCAGGCGGUUGCUUAGGUCUGAUGUGAAAGCCUUCGGCUUAACCGAAGAAGGGCAUCGGAAACCGGGCGACUUGAGUGCAGAAGAGGACAGUGGAACUCCAUGUGUAGCGGUGGAAUGCGUAGAUAUAUGGAAGAACACCAGUGGCGAAGGCGGCUGUCUGGUCUGCAACUGACGCUGAGGCUCGAAAGCAUGGGUAGCGAACAGGAUUAGAUACCCUGGUAGUCCAUGCCGUAAACGAUGAGUGCUAGGUGUUGGAGGGUUUCCGCCCUUCAGUGCCGGAGCUAACGCAUUAAGCACUCCGCCUGGGGAGUACGACCGCAAGGUUGAAACUCA
rnacentral:rRNA from 2 species